ACCUACGGGGGGCAGCAGUGGGGAAUAUUGGGCAAUGGGCGCAAGCCUGACCCAGCAACGCCGCGUGAAGGAAGAAGGCUUUCGGGUUGUAAACUUCUUUUAUUGAGGACGAAACAAAUGACGGUACUCAAUGAAUAAGCCACGGCUAACUACGUGCCAGCAGCCGCGGUAAUACGUAGGUGGCAAGCGUUAUCCGGAUUUAUUGGGUUUAAAGGGUGCGUAGGCGGGCUUUUAAGUCAGCGGUAAAAAUUCGGGGCUCAACCCCGUCCGGCCGUUGAAACUGGGGGCCUUGAGUGGGCGAGAAG
rnacentral:rRNA from 1 species